CUCAGGAUGAACGCUGGCGGCGUGCUUAACACAUGCAAGUCGAACGGUGAAAGAGAGCUUGCUCUCUGGAUCAGUGGCGAACGGGUGAGUAACACGUGAGCAAUCUGCCCCUGACUCUGGGAUAACAGUUGGAAACAGCUGCUAAUACCGGAUACGAGACGUGAAGGCAUCUUCAACGUCUGGAAAGAACUUCGGUCAGGGAUGAGCUCGCGGCCUAUCAGCUAGUUGGUGAGGUAAUGGCUCACCAAGGCGUCGACGGGUAGCCGGCCUGAGAGGGUGACCGGCCACACUGGGACUGAGACACGGCCCAGACUCCUACGGGAGGCAGCAGUGGGGAAUAUUGCACAAUGGGCGCAAGCCUGAUGCAGCAACGCCGCGUGAGGGACGACGGCCUUCGGGUUGUAAACCUCUUUUAGCAAGGAAGAAGCGAAAGUGACGGUACUUGCAGAAAAAGCACCGGCUAACUACGUGCCAGCAGCCGCGGUAAUACGUAGGGUGCAAGCGUUAUCCGGAAUUAUUGGGCGUAAAGAGCUCGUAGGCGGUUUGUCGCGUCUGCUGUGAAAUCUGGGGGCUCAACCCCCAGCCUGCAGUGGGUACGGGCAGACUAGAGUGCGGUAGGGGAGAUUGGAAUUCCUGGUGUAGCGGUGGAAUGCGCAGAUAUCAGGAGGAACACCGAUGGCGAAGGCAGAUCUCUGGGCCGUAACUGACGCUGAGGAGCGAAAGGGUGGGGAGCAAACAGGCUUAGAUACCCUGGUAGUCCACCCCGUAAACGUUGGGAACUAGUUGUGGGGUCCAUUCCACGGAUUCCGUGACGCAGCUAACGCAUUAAGU
rnacentral:rRNA from 2 species